rnacentral:rRNA from 2 species
UCCGUAGGUGAACCUGCGGAAGGAUCAUUAAA